AAGGUCAAAGGUCUAGCGUAGUGAAUAUGACAGUGGUCUCCACAUACAUUCUCAGCAAGGCUGGUAUCCUUAGACCCAGAGCACAGGUCUCUCCUGUUUAAGUUAUCUUUUAUAUGGGUCUGCUACUGCACAGACACCCAAGAAAGACACCUCAGAGUUUGACCGUGUGAUUCAGAACUAAUUGCUAGAAACACAGAAAUACUGAGGGGGUCCAGGCUUCAGUUUGAAGUUCUUGGUGAAAUGUAUUCUUGAGGUUAUAAAGCACUUGUUCUUCCAGCCUGUUCCUCUUGCCCUUGUUGCUGUUGUUUUCACCAGUUCCUGUCCUUGUCCUUGCAUGGCUCCUGUUCCACACCAUUGUCACGUAGCUUAUUGUUUCUGACCCCUUAGUUCCUAUCCCUGCCUUUUGCUUUUGUCCCUGUUUCUCCAGCUGGCACACAUGCACUGUCACUGCUGUCUUCCUCAGCUUCUCUUUGCUAUCUAAAUCUGCCCUUUAUUCCUCUGUAGUGAAGUCAGACUGCUGAUUCUUACUCCUUCAUAGAGAAUAAAAAAAGGAAAAUUUUGAAAACAGGGAGAGGAGGAGAGAAGAAAUAUGUAGAGGGAGAGCUAGAUACUAUGGAAGGCUGGUUAGGACUGUGCAAAGCAAGGACAAUAGAUUCAGAAGGAAGCGUGCAUCAGAGAGGGGUUAAAUGUAGGGACUGGUACCUAGGUGUGUGUGAGUAACAAGUUCACCACAGAAGGCAUCUCACAGCUAGCUGUAAUGUGCAUGCAGGUAUUUUCUUCUUUUUUGUUCACAGAUGGCAGCUACUCAAACCAGAGCUCUGUUUCUUCCAUCUUGGAGUGAGACCCCUUUCCACAAUGAGGAUGAUAUGAAUUUUUGAAAUAAUUUAUGCCUAGCACAAAGCAGUAAGAGGCAGUGUGAAAAUCCAGAGAGCAUGUGCAUAUGGCAAACAGCCAGAGAGAAAAGAAAAAAAACAGUCUGUGCUUUCAUAUCAGAACUUGUGAUUUAGGAUCAUAGGAAGGAUCAUUCCCAGAAGAAACAGGGACUUGGUCUGAUAAUCUCUGCACAGGAUUAAUGAGGCUGGAGUGUAUGAGAACGCACAGUUCUGAACCUGAAGAAAGGCUGGGCCAAAGCUUGUGGAGCAACAGUCAGAAAUGCCCCUCUCAGGACCUGCAAACUGAGUGGUUGCUUCUCUGCCUCCUACUUCCACCCAAGAACUUUAGCUCAGCCUGCCUAGGGGGAGGCUGCUCCCAUCACAGGCUGAGCUCUUGCGUUCUUCACAAGUCCAUCACUCUUCACAAUUUUUUUCCAGCCAGACAUCAUUGUCCCAGACAGAUGCCUAGACCAGGAGAAUCACAUCCAAAGCAGCAGAGGAUCCAAAGGCUCAGUUCAUCUUACCUCUGUGAAGUUCCUCCAGCUUCAUUUGCUUUUCAGAGUUGUUCUUCCUUGGCAGAACUGUUGGAGAAGGACUGUAAUGCUAACAGCCGUAAUUGCCAAGUGAGAGUUAUUCUAGAGUACAAGGAUUUCUGCACAUACUUUAGGCACCUGUUGUAUCACUGGAGACAACUCACACCUGUGGCAGGAUCAAAACUGUACGGUAUAAUAAUUCAGUCAUUACUUUGCUAUUUUGUAACUUGGUGCCAUCUGGAACAUAGCAUAGACAGAGCCUAAAACAGAAAGCAAUCUACAGUGUAUGUUAAGGUUGCAAAAGGAAACAAAAAACCCAAAGCAAAACAAAACAGAAAACCAACCCCCCUCCAGAGGGAAGUGUGAUAACAAGUAUCCACAAAGACAGGAAGCUGCAAAAAAACAAACGUCUGUGCUGGAAGUGAGGUUGGAUCAAAAAAAUUACUCCAGCCUUAAUCGGUCACUGACAUGAACAAACAGGCAUGCAAGAAGUUAGAAGGAGAGAACAUGGAU